ACAAGCUCUUGGAACACAACCUGCCCAGCUGUCAUCUUUAGCUUUAGGAGAAGCCGGCUUGUCCUGAGAUGACAGCAUGUUAACUCUUUAAAGACACUUUGUAAGGGUUGAUCACAAUGCCAUCGCCACGCAGCAUUUUCACCAGCAGUCCUAAUGGGGACCAUUUUCAAGUAUAUUAAUUUGUAGACUCCAAACCCAGAACAUCUCUUGGAUAGUCCACCGCUGUCAUGGAGUUGGUACAAAAACGUUGAAGCUUCUUCAAGUUUCUCCGUGAUCAAAACUUGCCAAGUGGCUCUGCUUCAAAAAAAUCUAAUGAUAAACAUGUAGACAGGUUGUCUUUCCUGCGUAAAGGACAGAAAUAGAACAACUUCAAACACUGCAGCGCCUCCAAUGACGCCACCAGAAGUACAGGAAGUUGUUGAGGUGGAAAGAACAGAAGAAGAAUCUGGCACACAUCAUCAGGCAUUUAUAUCUAGUGGAAUAAGAUAUAAACGUUCUCAAAGACAUUAUUCCAAAACAAAAAAAGAGAGUUCUCUCAAAGAGAGAAUCUAAUUCUUGAGGCAAUUCAGAAACUUGAAGAUUUCUGCACAUCAAAGUUGAUGUGUGCCUUCUCUGCCUAGAGGGUAUAGUAACUGGCCCAGUCCCAAGUCCUAAUAGGGACUUUCUUAUGACCCUUGUCCCAUCUAUGGACCCAAUGUCAGAGGAGCAACUUGCAAAUUAUAACGUGCGAUUAAUUUGCAUGACCCAAGAUUUUUUGAACCCUCCACAAGCUCAGAUGUAUCCUCCACCUUCUCCUUCGGUUUAACAACCCCGAACCAGAACCUACCCUAGCACAUACCCUCAAGUGCGUUAUGAUGAAAAUUUUGAGGUUGAGGAGGGUCAAGUCUAUAGGAGAAUGUAGUUUUUUUUAAUUUAUGGUUCAGAGUUUGUAUAGCUUUAUAUAUUUGUUUAUACCUUCAUGUGCACUGACAAAAGACAUUGAUGCAUUUGCAUAUUUUUUUUAAGUUUUAUAAAGUAAAGUUUAUAACUAAAACUUGCCCCUGUUUUUUUUUUUUUUUUCAAAGAUAUUUAAAAAAAAAUUAUAAUAAAAACAGCAUGUUGAUGGAGGGCUCGAUUGAUGUACAAUGCAUCUGUAAAGAUACAUUUUAGCUGUUUUAUUAUUUUGGAUCAUUUCUAACCACAAUAUAUCAAGGACAACAUGCAAAAGGUGAG